rnacentral:rRNA from 1 species
UACGUAGGGUGCAGGCGUUAAUCGGAAUUACUGGGCGUAAAGCGUGCGCAGGCGGUCUUUUAAGUCAGAUGUGAAAUCCCCGGGCCUAACCUGGGAACUGCGUCUGAUACUGGAUGGCUUGAGUGUGGGAGAGGAAUGCGGAAUUCCAGGUGUAGCGGUGAAAUGCGUAGAUAUCUGGAGGAACACCGGUGGCGAAGGCGGCAUUCUGGACCAUUACUGACGCUGAGGAGCGAAAGCCAGGGGAGCAAACGGG